ACCGGGUGUGGCUCCCUGUCUGUCACCUUCCAUUCGCCAGUGAUCCUGUUGGGCCCCUGGAGCAGAUGCCCUUGAAUGCCAGUGUGAGGCAAGCAUUGGGGUGGUGGCCAUGGACAGACUCGCCAGUGUUCUUCUAGCACCAGGUUCUUCAGCUCCAAAUCAACAGCUGGGAAGGGAAACUUAUUCCUUGGCAUCUGCACAAAGGCCUCCCUGGGGCUUGGUGCUCCCCAUCCCCGCCACACACAUACAGCAUGGAUUUGAUUCUCCUGGGCCAGUGAGAAGAGCAACGCCAAGAUGUAAUUAAAGAUUUUGAGAUGAAGUGGUCAUCCUGAUUAUCCAAGUGAGCCUGAAAUCCAAUGACACAUGUCCUGAUAAAGGACACACAGAGGAAAAGACAGAAACAUGGAUGAAAAGGCAAAGUGAAGACAGAGCAAAGCCGUCCAAGCCAAGGAAUGCUGAUGGCACUAGAAGCUGGAAGAGGCAAGAAAGGAGCCUCUCCUAGGGCCUUCAGAGGGAGCGUGGCCCUGCUGACACUGCCGACACCUGGAUUUCGACUUCUGGCCUCCAGAACUGAAGGACCAUGUAAGAACAUAGCAAGAAGGCAGCCAUCUGCAGACCAGGAAGAGAGACCCCACCACAACCCAACCAUACCAGCACCCUGAUCUUGGGUUUCCAUAACUAUGAAAAAAUAAACUUCUGUUGUUUAAGCU
rnacentral:lncRNA from 1 species